rnacentral:rRNA from 1 species
UGCAAGUCGAGCGGUAGCACAGAGAGCUUGCUCUCGGGUGACGAGCGGCGGACGGGUGAGUAAUGUCUGGGAAACUGCCUGAUGGAGGGGGAUAACUACUGGAAACGGUAGCUAAUACCGCAUAACGUCGCAAGACCAAAGUGGGGGACCUUCGGGCCUCAUGCCAUCAGAUGUGCCCAGAUGGGAUUAGCUGGUAGGUGGGGUAACGGCUCACCUAGGCGACGAUCCCUAGCUGGUCUGAGAGGAUGACCAGCCACACUGGAACUGAGACACGGUCCAGACUCCUACGGGAGGCAGCAGUGGGGAAUAUUGCACAAUGGGCGCAAGCCUGAUGCAGCCAUGCCGCGUGUGUGAAGAAGGCCUUCGGGUUGUAAAGCACUUUCAGCGGGGAGGAAGGCGAUGAGGUUAAUAACCUUGUCGAUUGACGUUACCCGCAGAAGAAGCACCGGCUAACUCCGUGCCAGCAGCCGCGGUAAUACGGAGGGUGCAAGCGUUAAUCGGAAUUACUGGGCGUAAAGCGCACGCAGGCGGUCUGUCAAGUCGGAUGUGAAAUCCCCGGGCUCAACCUGGGAACUGCAUUCGAAACUGGCAGGCUAGAGUCUUGUAGAGGGGGGUAGAAUUCCAGGUGUAGCGGUGAAAUGCGUAGAGAUCUGGAGGAAUACCGGUGGCGAAGGCGGCCCCCUGGACAAAGACUGACGCUCAGGUGCGAAAGCGUGGGGAGCAAACAGGAUUAGAUACCCUGGUAGUCCACGCUGUAAACGAUGUCGAUUUGGAGGUUGUGCCCUUGAGGCGUGGCUUCCGGAGCUAACGCGUUAAAUCGACCGCCUGGGGAGUACGGCCGCAAGGUUAAAACUCAAUGAAUUGACAGGGGCCCGCACAAGCGGUGGAGCAUGUGGUUUAAUUCGAUGCAACGCGAGAACCUUACCUGGUCUUGACAUCCACAGA